AUUGUUUCUCGGCCUUUUGGCUAAGAUCAAGUGUGGUGUCUGUUCUUAUCAGUUUAAUAAAUGUUACUUGCACACUAUGAGCUAUUUAACAUCUUCUUGCUGAUGGAAACUUA
ensembl:snRNA U2 U2 spliceosomal RNA